GUUCCCUUCUCCUUGAUUUUAGGAGUCACGUUGACAUAUUGUAGAAUACUGUCCAUCUCUCCCAAUGGCUCAUGAUCUUCAAAGCCUUCAACCAGCCUUCAAUGAAUUACCUGAUCACAAUCUUCAGGGGGUGGAAUCUGGAAAUCUUACUCUCUCUCAGACGUAACAGCUAGAAGCCUGCCUCGAGCCUCCUGGGGCAUACCAGAUCAAUGGCUGGAGGUUAUUACACGGACUGAUGCAACUGCAAGAAGUCUGGAGAAGAAAUCAGCGUAGGUGAUCACUAGAAGUCUCUACCACAUUAUCUACAGGCAGAAUGAAGCCAAGGACAAGUCAGGAGGGGAUGGCAUAAUCCCAGAAUUACUUUUGGAAGACUAAUUUGUUAGUGUAGCACGGCCUAUAGUAGAAGAAGGCAGGGAGAUCAAUUCAGAAGUUUCUACAGAAACAAAAGCUUGAACUAAUGUAGUGGCUAAGGAAAU